UACGGAGGGUGCAAGCGUUGUCCGGAUUUAUUGGGUUUAAAGGGUGCGUAGGCGGGUAAUUAGGUCAGUGGUGAAAGCCGACAGCUCAACUGUCGAACCGCCAUUGAUACUGGUUAUCUUGAGUAUAGUUGAGGCAGGCGGAAUUUACGAUGUAGCGGUGAAAUGCAUAGAUAACGUAAAGAACACCGAUAGCGAAGGCAGCUUGAUAAACAAUAACUGACGCGGAGGCGCGAAAGCAGGGGGAGCGAUCAGG
rnacentral:misc_RNA from 1 species